rnacentral:rRNA from 1 species
UAAGACAGAGGGUGCAAACGUUGUUCGGAAUUACUGGGCGUAAAGCGUGUGUAGGCGGCUACGUAAGUCGGAUGUGAAAGCCCCAGGCUCAACCUGGGAAGUGCACUCGAUACUGCGUAGCUUGAGUAUCGGAGAGGUUGGUGGAAUUCUCGGUGUAGAGGUGAAAUUCGUAGAUAUCGAGAGGAACACCGGUGGCGAAGGCGGCCAACUGGACGAAUACUGACGCUGAGACACGAAAGCGUGGGGAGCAAACAGGAUUAGAUACCCUGGUAGUCCACGCCGUAAACGAUGGGUGCUAGGUGUCACGGGCUUUGACUCCUGUGGUGCCGUAGCAAACGCAUUAAGCACCCCGCCUGGGAAGUACGGCCGCAAGGCUA